CCCAUCCUCGAUGGUAAACAAAAGUAACUUCUAAAAAAUACUACCUAAAAGAUCAACAUGCAUAUAUAAUCACGAGUCUCCAUCCUCGUUACUAUCGCCUGAAUCUUCAUCAUGCUCAUCCUCGACAUCAACAUCCUACAAGUAGUAGUACAUGGAAUGCAUGUCAAAUAUAUGAAAUGAAUGCAUGCAUUCUAAACAUAAGACUAAGAAAACUGAUUACAUACUAUGGUCUAUGAACAAACAUGAGCAACUUGCAGAUUGCACCUAUUUUAAGCAAUAAUCUCAGCACAAGUUUAUACAUAAGGUGCAACAAAUAGUACUACACCAACGAAAUG
rnacentral:lncRNA from 1 species